GUGGAUAAGACAUGCAAGUCGAACGGAAAUUGAGCAUAGCUUGCUAAGCUCAAUUUUAGUGGCGGACGGGUUAGUAACACGUGAGAUACCUACCCUUUAGACAGGAAUAGCCCAUGGAAACGUGGAUUAAUGCCUGAUAGUCUCUACGGAGUAAAUGAGGCCCCUUUAUUGAGGUGUCGCUAAAGGAUGGGCUCGCGGCCUAUCAGUUUGUUGGUGAGGUAAAAGCUCACCAAGACUACGACGGGUAGCUGGUCUGAGAGGACGAUCAGCAACACUGGAACUGAGACACGGUCCAGACACC
rnacentral:rRNA from 1 species